UUGAUUCUCCAUUAUUUGAUGUUAACUGGAAGCUUGUGAUUCUGGAAUUGAGUGUUUCUUCUCAUCUCCUUACGCUGCAAAUUAGCAUUGAAGAUAAGUAGAUAAUGAUGAACCUAUUGGAGUUGAAGUCGCCGCCACCACCGCGACAAGCACCACCAACGCCACAUCGUUGCCGCCAUACCAACACAAUCACCACCACUGUCAUUAACACCACCACCACUACAACUCACUCCUUACGCGUACGUCCACAAACUGAAACGAAAUCAUUCGAUCCAAAUGCAACCACGAGUGUGUUACUCUCCU
rnacentral:lncRNA from 1 species